rnacentral:tRNA from 1 species
AGAUAUAUAGCUCAGUGGUAGAGUGCUGGCUUAGCAUGCAGGAGGUGCUGGGUUCAAUCCCUAGUACCUCCA